rfam:Schistosoma haematobium scaffold1167_2, whole genome shotgun sequence.
GUCCAGCUGACAAAUCCCAAAUAGGACGAAACGCGAGUCAAACUGGAU